UCCUGACACAGGGAAGGUUCCAUCACCACCAGGCUCAUGCACUUAGACCCCCCCAUGUCCUCCUGUUGUCCUUCCCAGAGCCCUUACCAAUUUACUUUUUAUAUAUAAGUAUACAUCAGAUCUCAUUACAGAUGCUUGUGAGCCACCAUAGGGUUGCUGGGAUUUGAACUCAGGACCUUUGGACGAGCAGUCAGUGCUCUUAACCACUGAGCCAUCUCUCCAGCCCGGUCAUGGGCAAUCUUGUAGAGCACUUAAGUAUGUUACAUUGAAUUAGAUCUUAACCUGUCUGAACUUCACCUUCUGUAUAAAAUGAGGUCAAGCCAUCCCCUCCUUUCUUAUGGACUCAAAUUGUUGAAUGGUCCCCAUGCAUCUUUAGCUGGCUUCGCUUAAUCAAUGAUGCCUGACAAGGGCAAGUGUUUUAUCUGAACUAUGUUAUGGGGAUAGACAGAUGGCUUAGCUGUUAAGAGCGCUUGUUGCAGAGGACCCAAGUUCAAUUCUCAGCACCCAUAUGAUGGCUCACAACAAACUUAAAUAUAGUCGCAGGGGAUCUGACCCCCUAGUGGGCACCAGACGUGCACAUGGUUCACAGACAUAUAUGUAGGAAAGAGAAACAUUCAUAUGCAUAAAAUUAAGUUAAAAAGGAACCCAUGUCAUCACAAAAUAAUUAUCCUGGUCUCCAUUUUACAAGUCAGAAAGUGUGCUUCAUGAAAACAAAGCAGCUUACUUCCAAAUAUUCAUGUGCUGUCUUUCUGCCUCUGCCUCCCAAGAGCUGACAUUACAGACACGUGCUACCAACUCCAUUACUACUUUCUUUAGAAAUGUUCAUUUUAUUUACUUAUUUGUUCUCUGUGUUUUGUAAACAGGGGUGAUGCUCACACCUUAUGCAUAUGCAUAAGAGUAUAUCAGAUCCCUCAGAACUGGCGGUAGCAAACAUUUUCGGGAUGCUUGCUACAGUGGUUUGAACGAGAAUGUCCCUCACAGGCUGUGCCACCUAAGUACUUGGUCCCCUGUUAGUGGCACGGCUGGGGGAGGAACAGAAGGUGUGGCCUUACUGGAGAAAGUAUGUAGCCGGGAGCUGGCCAUAUUGAGUUUGCUCAUUCUGUUUCCUGCUUAUGGUUCAAAAGGUGAGCUUUCAGCUGGUCCUGCCACCUUGGCUCAUGCCUAUUGUGGUGCUCCCCAAUAUAUGGUUUAUUAUGUGUGUACUAGGAACCAAACUCUGAUCUUACCAUUGUUCAGUAAGCAUCCUUAACUGCUGAGGCAUUAAGGGACAGCUGACUUUGUUUUUCUUUUUAGUUAAACAACGACUUUCAUCGUGUCCUUAUCGAGAAGUCAACUUGGUUUUGCUUGUUUGUUUUUUUAUUUGUUCUUCCUCAAUAAUCUUGUGAAUUGUGCAUUAUAAAUUGUUUCCACUGCUCCAAGAGUUGACUGACCCUAAAACGUUGCCUAGUAUGUUAACUGUCUGACCAUAAACCUAUACAACAUGUACCUUUCCCAUGAUCAUAAAAAUAACUACGAAAUUCUACUUCUGUAGACGCUUGUUAUACAAGGGUCCUCUCGCUUCUGAUCUAGGCUGAUUCAUUCUCCCACCGAGGAAGACUGUAAGUUUAGCCUGGCUGUAAAUAAGAUUUUUACCUUGCAAUGUCUUGGUGUUAGCUCCUGGUUUUCGACAACAUAACAGUAUCUUUCCGGCCCUUCAAUCAUCACUUUUUUUCUUUUUUUUUUUUCUUUUUUUCGGAGCUGAGGACCGAACCCAGGGCCUUGCACUUACUAGGCAAGCAUUCUACUGAGCUAAAUCCCCAACCCCAAUCAUCGCUUUUUUUAUAGUUCAUUUAUAGACCAAGUCAGAGCUACAUUUUAAACUAAUGACUAUCCCUAAUGUAACCCUUAUCAAAUUCAUAGGUGAGUAGAGAAACCCAUCCUUUGGCAGAUGUCCUCCAGACCUGCUAGUUUUCUUUGAGGUUAAUGCUGCUCUCUGCCUUGGCCAAGGAAGCUUCUGUUUGCAAUAGGCGAUGAUUAAUGUAGACACUGAACGCUGGAUAAAGUACUGGCAAUAAGUGACUAUGGAGUGCUCAACCCUAAACAGGACAUCUAUUUUGGCUCCUUCAAGGCUUGAGGAACAUCAUGGAAGAUAGCCCACAUGCCAGCUGUGCUGGCUGGUUUUGUGUGUCAACUUGACACAAGUUAGAGUCAUCUGAGAGGAAGGAGUCUCAGAUGAGGAACUGCUUCCAUGAGAUCCAUGAGAUCAGUCAUUUUCUCAGUUAGUGAUCAAUGGGGGAGGUCCCAGUCCAUGAUGGGUGGUGCCAUCCCUGGGCUGGUGGUCCUGGGUUCUAUAAGAAAGCAGGCUGAGCAAACCACGGGAAGCAAGCCAGUAAGCAGCGUUCCUCCGUGGACUCUGAAUCAGCUCCUGUCUCCACGUUCCUGCCCUUUGGUGGUGAACAGCAAUGUAGAAAUACAAGCUGAAUAAACCCUUUUCUUCCCAA